rnacentral:rRNA from 1 species
CCUACGGGUGGCAGCAGUGGGGAAUAUUGCGCAAUGGGCGAAAGCCUGACGCAGCGACGCCGCGUGAGGGAUGAAGGUCUUCGGAUCGUAAACCUCUGUCAGCAGGGAAGAACGGACACUGUGCUAAUCAGCAGUGACUUGACGGUACCUGCAAAGGAAGCACCGGCUAACUCCGUGCCAGCAGCCGCGGUAAUACGGAGGGUGCGAGCGUUAAUCGGAAUUACUGGGCGUAAAGCGCUCGUAGGCGGUAUGUCAAGUCAAGGGUGAAAUCCCCGCGCUCAACGUGGGAACUGCCUUUGAAACUGGUAAACUAGAGGUAUAUAGAGGAUAGUGGAAUUCCAGGUGAAGGGGUGAAAUCCGUAGAUAUCUGGAGGAACAUCAGGGGCGAAGGCGACUAUCUGGCACAUAACUGACGCUGAGGAGCGAAAGCGUGGGUAGCAAACAGGAUUAGAUACCCCUGUAGUC